GAUGAAGAACGUAGCGAAAUGCGAUACGUAAUGUGAAUUGCAGAAUUCAGUGAAUCAUCGAGUCUUUGAACGCUCAUUGCGACCCCUGGUAUUCCGGGGGGCAUGCCUGUCCGAGCGUCAUUGCUGCCCUCAAGCACGGCUUGUGUGUUGGGCCUCCGUCCUCCUCCCGGGGGACGGGCCCGAAAGGCAGCGGCGGCACCGCGUCCGGUCCUCGAGCGUAUGGGGCUUCGUCACCCGCUCUUGUAGGCCCGGCCGGCGCUUGCCGACACAUCAAUCUUUUUUCCAGGUUGACCUCGGAUCAGGUAGGGAUACCCGCUGAACUUAAGCAUAUCAAUAAGCGGAGGA
rnacentral:misc_RNA from 1 species